UGAGAUCACGCGUAUAUUCGCUA
rnacentral:miRNA from 1 species